rnacentral:rRNA from 1 species
GCAGUCGAGCGAGCUUGCCUAGAUGAUUUUAGUGCUUGCACUAAAUGAAACUAGAUACAAGCGAGCGGCGGACGGGUGAGUAACACGUGGGUAACCUGCCCAAGAGACUGGGAUAACACCUGGAAACAGAUGCUAAUACCGGAUAACAACACUAGACGCAUGUCUAGAGUUUGAAAGAUGGUUCUGCUAUCACUCUUGGAUGGACCUGCGGUGCAUUAGCUAGUUGGUAAGGUAACGGCUUACCAAGGCAAUGAUGCAUAGCCGAGUUGAGAGACUGAUCGGCCACAUUGGGACUGAGACACGGCCCAAACUCCUACGGGAGGCAGCAGUAGGGAAUCUUCCACAAUGGACGAAAGUCUGAUGGAGCAACGCCGCGUGAGUGAAGAAGGGUUUCGGCUCGUAAAGCUCUGUUGGUAGUGAAGAAAGAUAGAGGUAGUAACUGGCCUUUAUUUGACGGUAAUUACUUAGAAAGUCACGGCUAACUACGUGCCAGCAGCCGCGGUAAUACGUAGGUGGCAAGCGUUGUCCGGAUUUAUUGGGCGUAAAGCGAGUGCAGGCGGUUCAAUAAGUCUGAUGUGAAAGCCUUCGGCUCAACCGGAGAAUUGCAUCAGAAACUGUUGAACUUGAGUGCAGAAGAGGAGAGUGGAACUCCAUGUGUAGCGGUGGAAUGCG